rnacentral:lncRNA from 1 species
AUGGCGGUGUCUAACGUCGGCCCGGCGGUGGGGAGUCGUUUGUACACUAUCGUUCCGUCUCGAGAUUCGCCCAAUAAACCAUCCUUCUUCUCGUCCUGUGUUUCUUGCCGUAUCCAAGCAAAAGCGACUAAACCACUGCGCGCAACUGUUGGUGCUUCCAAGCCGCUCAUAUGCCAUCACGAUUAUCGAAGUCGAACUCGCAGCGUGCUGUACCUCACCCCACUCAAUAACAGUUAUGAGCAUGUAUCAACUUUUUUUACAAUCCCGGUCCUCAAGAAGACGUCAAUUUUCGGAAAAUUUGUAGGUGUGGGAAAAACUGAUUGUAUUUUCUGGCUAUUUGCCAGUGCUAAACAACUACUAUUAGUCACCUGUUGCUUGUGCCUUCAGCACCACAACGUUCGUUUUCUUAAAUUUCCAAUUCUCAUUUAAAUUCAGACUAGUCAUUAGAGAUGGCUGCAUUCUGUCUAUUUUUCAUCUUUUCAGUCCUAUCAUCCAGCCAUCACCCAUAAAAUUAAUGACUAGACUUGCAACUGAUAGCUCCACUGAUUAUAGUCAACCAAUCGCGUAUAGACCUGGAAUCUCACCACCCGUGACGUCAGCAAGUCUGUAAAAGCGUAUACUGCCCGUUAUUCUUGUUCCAUUCCAUCCCAAACCCGUGUGUAUACACGUACUGCCGCGCCAUUGCAGCCCUUCAGCCGUAUUUCAUUAAGUGUGACUUUGUCUGUAAUUCUUGUAAUAUUCCAAAGCUCUCAAUACAACUCCUUUUCGGCCCUCAAAAUUGUCUAUCUUUAUUCCAGGCUCCCCCACUCAAAUUUAGUACCAUUAGAUGUAUUCAGUCCAUCUAUAAUGUGACAUCACCAUCCGAGUGUCUUGCUUUAUUUUGGCCGAGGACCAGUGUUGUUAUUUCCGUAAUAAUACAAUGUUUGAUUUAUUAUUGUUAUGUUUUAAAUAAUCUUUAGGAAGAAAGCAAAAUGGAGGCCAGCAUAAUUUUUUAUUUAAAAAAUGCAAUGCCAACAGGAUGAUGUAAAGUUUACACACUUCGUGCUUACUCUUUAACGUUAGAGAGCGCCCAGGCUGUAAAAUCAAGACAUUUGCAGUGGGUGCAGAGAUGUGCCAGUCAGGGAUGCCAUUUCCCUCUGAAAAACCUUGCAUGAAAAAGAAGUUCAUGAGAUUCGUCAAUUGGUCAUUUGUAAUUAACGUUUAGAGUUUUUUUGUUCAGCGAAUCGUUUUACAAGUAGUUUUCCCAUUAUUUGAGCGAGGUAAUUAAUCUGUUACUGGGUUAAUUGUUACAGUAAUUUCUCCCAUGAUUAAAAUCUUGAAAUUAUAACCGGCCAGGUAUACUUAGUGUCAAUUAGAGGAGGGAACUGACCCCCUUAAAAAUUUAGCUUAGGACGGUUCGUAUAAGAGGAAACGUUUUGCAAAAUUCUCCCAUAGAAUUCGUCACAUAGAAACAAACAGAUGACGUGAAUAGUUUUUUUUUUAUCUUUUUUUCUUUUUUCUUCUUUUUUUCUAAUUGAGUGGUUUCUUUCGAAAUGAUUUUCCUCAAUUCCUGGAGAUUGGAUUCGGUUAUGAAUGUUUAAGUCGACUUAUUCACAAAGUUUAUAAUGUCAUAAGAUAGACAUUGACAAAUGAAUGAAAAUACGAGUAUAAAGAAAGAAAGAAAGAAACAAACAAACAAACAAAGAAGCAAACAAACAAACAAACAAACAAACAAACAAACAAACAAACAAACAAACAAAAAUCAUAUUUAGAUUUUUAUCGGUCAUAAUGGCUAAGCUCUACACACUACUGGCUCAGUGGCGUGGCGUGCUUUGCGAUAUAUCGAUGGAUCUGCCAUUUAAAACUAUGGAAAAGGAUCGAUUAACAGGGUUUCGCAGGCGAAACACCUUGAUAAUCGAUUCUUUACCAUAGCUUCAAAUGAGGAAAUAUCGAUAAUCGAUUAUUCACGCCACGCCACUGUACUGGCUAUAUGGCACUGCGUAAUCCAUCUUAUCUGGACAUUUUGAAAGCGUGCCUCUAAUACAGCCGUGCUAAGGAAUAACGCCGUA